rnacentral:rRNA from 1 species
UACGGGGGGGGGCAAGCGUUGUUCGGAAUUACUGGGCGUAAAGGGCUCGUAGGCGGCCAACUAAGUCAGACGUGAAAUCCCUCGGCUUAACCGGGGAACUGCGUCUGAUACUGGAUGGCUUGGAUUUGGGAGAGGAAUGCGGAAUUCCAGGUGUAGCGGUGAAAUGCGUAGAUAUCUGGAGGAACACCGGUGGCGAAGGCGGCAUUCUGGACCAAUAUUGACGCUGAGGAGCGAAAGCCAGGGGAGCAAAGCGGG